rnacentral:misc_RNA from 1 species
UACGUGAGCCCCAAGUGUUAUCCGGAAUCACUGGGCGUAAAGGGUGUGUAGGUGGUGUUGUUAGUCUUCUGUGAAAUCUCCCGGCUUAACCGGGAAGACGCAGGGGAAACGGCAACACUAGAGGGUGCGAGGGGUAUGUAGAACUCACGGUGUAGGGGUGAAAUCCGUUGAUAUCGUGGGGAAUACCAAAAGCGAAGGCAGCAUACUGGCGCAUUUCUGACACUGAGACACGAAAGCUAGGGUAGCGAACGGG